GUUAGUUGUUCUUUAAAGAAUGUGUGUAUGUUGCCAUCGUGUGGUGAGUUCUUGCCAUAGACAUGGCUUGUGCGAAAUAAAUAAAUAAAUCAAUCAAUAAAUAAAUAAAUGUUUCUUUAAGAUAAGGUUCUGCACACACUCAGAACACUCAGUUUAUUUAUCAUUUUGCUGUUGCAAAUGUUUAACUGCGUUUCCUCAGGGAAAAGUGCCAUAGUGCAAAACCGGAAGUGCAGCCAUUUCUUCUCUUGACUCUUCACUCUCUGCAAACUUCUGCAACAAAAACACACUUGCAGCACACACACCGCUGGCCAGGACCACCACCACCACUGUCCGCGGGAAUGCAAGGAUUUGGGGGCAUCCAGCGGAUUGGGACUCGCAUUUUCUGCAGAUUUUCUCUCAAAAAACUAUUACACUCCACCCCGUACCUUUUUUUCUCCAACUUAUCGAGGAAUUAACCGGCAAUACUAACAAUGUAACGCGGGCAUCAGGGCUGUGCUGAUGCUACGCCCCUUGGACCCGACCUGACUGCAAAUUGCAUCCGAAAAAGAAAAAGAAAGCAUCGAUUUACUCCGACAGGCAAAAUGAACAUGUUAAAUUCAGACAGACUUCGGUCUGUGAAGAAUGCAAACUCCCCGAGCGAGCAGGAGCAGAGAAUAGACCCCAAGAGUCCAGAGUCAGAGAAGGAAAACAACCCAGCCCAAACCCAGCCUUCAAACAGCCCGUCACAGCCCAGCGACGAGGGAGUGGUAUUGCUCGAUUCGGAUAGUGACGAAAAUGAUGACAUAGUUUUUGUGUCUGAACUAGCUUUACCGAACCACACAUUUAAAAAGAAACCAAAAAAGUCUAAGGAUCUCUCUAAACGUAAACGAAAGCACCGGAAGGAGCGCCGUCAAGGGGAGAAGAUCAAUACAUUACAGAAAGAUCAAGACCAAGAGGAUGCAAGCACAAGCACACAGGACAAAGCUGUUGGUACGUGCUCAACAAAGUUUGUCCAUCAAGACCGGGUCCGGGGUACAAAGAGGAAGAUGGACGGAUCCUCAAGUUCUCAAGACAGUGGCGUUGAUCAACUGACAAAGAAAAGGCAGCCAUUAGUGGUGGAUCUUGAAGACUGGGAAAGCCAAGAGGCAACGGUCCAACGACUGCAGGAAAGGUUUCCAGACAAAGAUAAGGAAGUAAGCAAUGGAGCCUUAUAGGGUUGUGCAAUUAAUCAGUGCGACAGUGGCGCAGUUG
rnacentral:lncRNA from 1 species